CGAGCUUGGCCUGAGGACAGAGGAAAGCCUGAGCUGAAGCUCAACCCAAUGCCCCUCUACCUUGAGAAGACUGAAGACCAUCUCUCUGAACUUCUCCACUGAGGUGCCUUUAGAAGGCUUGUCGAAUGCCGGAGCCUCCCUCCGUGGCUCGGGUUCUUCACUCAGAUCAUAGCGUGCCACUUCCCCCAGCUGACAGUGGAUGAUGCCGCUGUGGUCCCCCCAGCUUCCCGUGUAGACCUGGGACGGAGAGGCGCCGUGAACAUUUGCAGUGAGCAUCGUCAUGGAGACACGGGGCGAGAACAGCAGCUUCAUACCUGGUUGUUUGGCAGUGACGACAAGCACCUUCCAAAGUAGAGCGUCUCUUUGUCACACAGACUGCUGCAAGCUGAGCCAUCAAUCACUCCUCUUCUGUACUUUUCACACUUAA